rnacentral:rRNA from 1 species
UACAGAGGUCUCAAGCGUUGUUCGGAUUCAUUGGGCGUAAAGGGUGCGUAGGCGGCGCGGUAAGUCGGGUGUGAAAUCUCGGAGCUUAACUCCGAAACUGCAUUCGAUACUGCCGUGCGUUGAGGACUGGAGAGGAGACUGGAAUUUACGGUGUAGCGGUGAAAUGCGUAGAGUAUCGAUGAAGGAAGACCAGUGGCGAAGGCGGGUCUCUGGA